rnacentral:rRNA from 1 species
AUUGAUGACCUGCCUAAAGGCACCAGAUCCCCUCUGAUCUUGGAAGCUAAGCAGGCUCAGUUUUGGUUAGUACUUGGAUGGGAAACUGCCAACAAAUACCAGGUGCUGUAGGCU